UUUGGUUUGGUUGAGUGGUUAAGCAUUUAAUGUAUUUGCUUAAGGUUUUGUGUUUGAGUCACUAUAUGUAUAAGAAAUAUUUAAAUUUUUUUCUCAUUCUCUAGCAAGUUGGUGGAGGAGUUUGGAUUAAAUUUAAACUCUAAGAAAUAAAUUUGAUUAGUUGGGGAUAAGAUUUGGUAUCUUUUUGAAAAUAAAAAAAAAAUUUAAUAAAGUAUAUCACCCAAAACAAACCCCCACAUUUGUUUUGCCCUUAAUUCCCCAUUUCACGCCACUAUACUUCUCCCUGCUUUUGAUUUUUUUUGCUGUGUUUUUUGUUUUGUUUUUUUUUUCCCUUUUAUUCUUUUGGGUUGUUCUUAUGCCGUUCUUAAUAGUCUCUUUCCCAAAUAAUUUCUUUUCAAUUUUGAUUCUUCUUUUAUCAAUUUCCAAGCCGAAAUUGUCAUAACCUUAAUGCUUCAAUUCCUUCUUUGCUAUUACACUCCUGUGUGGGUUCGUGGUGUUGGGAGAGGAUCAUGUGACAUUGGGUUCUUGGAUGAACUGAGUUCAUUUUAAGUUGCUGAGUGAUAGGAGGUGAGUAUUCUGCUGUUGGGUGGGGUUUGUUUGUUUUGGUUAUUGGGUUUGUGUGUUGAAGGAUUUAUUAAGUCGAUGAUUGGGUUGUUAAUUUCCCGGUUAUUAAUUUGUAUUAUUUGGUAAUCUAGGUACUGAAAUAUUUGAUUUUGAACGUA